rnacentral:misc_RNA from 1 species
GAUGAAGAACGCAGCGAAAUGCGAUAAGUAAUGUGAAUUGCAGAAUUCAGUGAAUCAUCGAGUCUUUGAACGCACAUUGCGCCCCCUGGUAUUCCGGGGGGCAUGCCUGUCCGAGCGUCAUUGCUGCCCUCAAGCACGGCUUGUGUGUUGGGCCUCCGUCCUCCUCCCGGGGGACGGGCCCGAAAGGCAGCGGCGGCACCGCGUCCGGUCCUCGAGCGUAUGGGGCUUCGUCACCCGCUCUUGUAGGCCCGGCCGGCGCUUGCCGACACAUCAAUCUUUUUUCCAGGUUGACCUCGGAUCAGGUAGGGAUACCCGCUGAACUUAAGCAUAUCAAUAAGCGAAGGA